AUAAAUCAAAUGAUGGACUUAUGUCCAUUUACAACAAAUUGAAUUAAUCAAAUUACAUUCAAAUCUACACUACCAAACCCAAACAUUCAUAAUGUAUAUCGGCCAAUCACAUAGCUCAAUUAUCGUGGCCUUUGGUUCAUAAUCACCCUUUUCUUAAUCAAUCACAUUAACUAAGAAAACAUCUUUAAACAAUUGGUUUUUGGAUCCAUAGAAUUGAUUUAAAUGGAACUAAAUAGAAUGAAAAUCCAAUUCUCAUUAAAGAGACAAAACAAUUUUGUUCUCAUUUUAUUUGGGCCAAAAGGAAACUAUGACCACAACAAUUGGGCCAUAAUGCAAAUACAAAAACUUUUGGGGUCACUUUGUAUAAACAUAACUUCAUGUAAAUACAACUAGAUCCCAAAAUUUUAAUAAUGUAAAAACAUCAUUAAAGGAUCAAAACAAUUUGUCCUUUAGAGUUUUAGGGUCUUAACGUAAAAACGUAAACUUUUGGGCCAAAAUGCAAAUACACAAAAGUAUCUAAAACUUUAUGUAAUUGCACAAAAGGCCCUAAAAGCACCCCCACUAGGGGUGGCCGGCCAUUUGGAGUGAACAAGUGAAAAUUUUGAAAUUUUUGAAAAAGUUUUUGCAAGUUGAUUAAAGUACUUAAGCAAGUGGAAUGGUUGGUGAAGAAAGUCUUUGCAAUCUUUAAAGACUUGUAAGAAAUGUAAGAAAAUGUUUUGUAAACAUUAAUGACAUUUUCCUUUCUUCACCCUUAAGUUAUAAUACAAAAUUAAUAAACCAAAACUUUAUGAAAAACAUAAAACUUUUGAAUCAAAACUUCAAAACUUUUUGUUCUUGGCAAGAACUUCAAGAACAUGAAGAACAAACAUGAAAAACUCAUAAUAGCUCCAUGGAUGUUUUCAUUCACCAAAACUCAAUUUUUCACCUCUCAAAAGAGGGCUAAUAUCCUAGGGUACUUAGGGGUUCCAAAAGUCAUCUUAAAACCAUUUUAACAAGACAAACAUGAACCCAAAAAGUC
rnacentral:lncRNA from 1 species